rnacentral:sRNA from 1 species
UUUAUCAUCAUCACCACCUCUCUAUAAUCAC